GCCUGGCUGGCUCAGUUGUGAGAGCAUGAAACUCUUGAUCUUGGGGUCAUGAGUUCAAGCCCCUUGCUGGGUG
rnacentral:tRNA from 1 species